UCCGAUAUGGUGUAACGGCUAACAUCGCCGCCUUUCAGUAAAUGAAAGCAAAAGUUCCGCGGCAGCUCGGGGUUCGAUUCCCCGUAUCGGAG